AGAAUUAUAACUUCACCUACAAUAUGUAAUAUUAAACAUAUCCCAACCCUAAACCCUAGAUACUAAACCUUAUCCCAAUCACACCUCAACCCCUAAAUACUAAAUCCUAAAUUAUAAUCACUAAAUCCUUAUCCAAAUAUAAACAUUAAACUCAAAUAUAAAUUCUAACCCAAAUAGAAUAGAACAAAAUAAAUAACAAAAUACAUAUUGGUAAAAUUAUGAAAUGUCUAUGAUUGCAUGGAAGAAGUUAAUGUUGACCCUAACCAUACCCUCUCACCUUCAAAAUAUUAAACCC
rnacentral:lncRNA from 1 species